rnacentral:rRNA from 1 species
UACGAAGGGUGCAAGCGUUAAUCAGAAUUACUGGGCGUAAAGCGUGCGCAGGCGGUUUGUUAAGUCUGCUGUGAAAUCCCCGAGCUCAACUUGGGAAUUGCAGUGGAUACUGGCAGGCUGGAGUAUGGUAGAGGAAGGUGGAAUUCCCGGUGUAGCAGUGAAAUGCGUAGAGAUCGGGAGGAACACCAGUGGCGAAGGCGGCCUUCUGGACCAAUACUGACGCUCAUGCACGAAAGCGUGGGGAGCAAACAGG